rnacentral:rRNA from 1 species
CUCCUACGGGAGGCAGCAGUGGGGGAUAUUGCACAAUGGGGGAAACCCUGAUGCAGCGACGCCGCGUGGAGGAAGAAGGUUUUCGGAUUGUAAACUCCUGUCGUUAGGGACGAUAAUGACGGUACCUAACAAGAAAGCACCGGCUAACUACGUGCCAGCAGCCGCGGUAAAACGUAGGGUGCAAGCGUUGUCCGGAAUUACUGGGUGUAAAGGGAGCGCAGGCGGACCGGCAAGUUGGAAGUGAAAACUAUGGGCUCAACCCAUAAAUUGCUUUCAAAACUGCUGGCCUUGAGUAGUGCAGAGGUAGGUGGAAUUCCCGGUGUAGCGGUGGAAUGCGUAGAUAUCGGGAGGAACACCAGUGGCGAAGGCGACCUACUGGGCACCAACUGACGCUGAGGCUCGAAAGCAUGGGUAGCAAACAGGAUUAGAUACCCUGGUAGUCCAUGCCGUAAACGAUGAUUACUAGGUGUUGGAGGAUUGACCCCUUCAGUGCCGCAGUUAACACAAUAAGUAAUCCACCUGGGGAGUACGACCGCAAGGUUGAAACUCAAAGGAAUUGACGGGGGCCCGCACAAGCAGUGGAGUAUGUGGUUUAAUUCGAAGCAACGCGAAGAACCUUACCAGGUCUUGACAUCCGAUGCAUAGUGCAGAGAUGCAUGAAGUCCUUCGGGACAUCGAGACAGGUGGUGCAUGGUUGUCGUCAGCUCGUGUCGUGAGAUGUUGGGUUAAGUCCCGCAACGAGCGCAACCCUUAUUGCCAGUUACUACGUAAGAGGACUCUGGCGAGACUGCCGUUGACAAAACGGAGGAAGGUGGGGAUGACGUCAAAUCAUCAUGCCCUUUAUGACCUGGGCUACACACGUACUACAAUGGCGUUUAACAAAGAGAAGCAAGACCGCGAGGUGGAGCAAAACUCAAAAACAACGUCUCAGUUCAGAUUGCAGGCUGCAACUCGCCUGCAUGAAGUCGGAAUUGCUAGUAAUCGCGGAUCAGCAUGCCGCGGUGAAUACGUUCCCGGGCCUUGUACACACCGC